rnacentral:rRNA from 1 species
GACGUAGGUGGCAAGCGUUGUUCGGAAUCACUGAGCAUAAAGCGCACGUAGGCAGCCAAAUCAGUCGGGUGUGAAAGCCCCCGGCUCAACUGGGGAGGGUCAUUCGAUACUGAUCGACUCGAAGGCAGGAGAGGGAAGUGGAAUUCCCGGUGUAGUGGUGAAAUGCGUAGAUAUCGGGAGGAACACCAGUGGCGAAGGCGACUUCCUGGCCUGUUCUUGACGCUGAGGCGCGAAAGCUAGGGGAGCAAACGGG